GACGAACGCUGGCGGCGUGCUUAACACAUGCAAGUCGAACGGAAAGGCCCUGCUUUUGUGGGGUGCUCGAGUGGCGAACGGGGGAGUAACACGUGAGUAACCUGCCCUUGACUUUGGGAUAACUUCAGGAAACUGGGGCUAAUACCGGAUAGGAGCUACUGCUGCAUGGUGGGGGUUGGAAAGUUUCGGCGGUUGGGGAUGGACUCGCGGCUUAUCAGCUUGUUGGUGGGGUAGUGGAUUACCAAGGCUUUGACGGGUAGCCGGCCUGAGAGGGUGACCGGCCACAAUACGCCUGCGAUACGGCCCAGACUCCUACGGGAGGCAGCAGUGGGGAAUAUUGCACAAUGGGCGCAAGCCUGAUGCAGCAACGCCGCGUGCGUGAUGCCCGCCUUCGGGUUGUAAACCGCUUUCGCCUUUGACGAAGCGUGAGUGACGGUAAUGGGUAAAGAAGCACCGGCUAACUACGUG
rnacentral:rRNA from 1 species